UACGAAGGGUGCAAGCGUUACUCGGAAUUACUGGGCGUAAAGCGUGCGUAGGUGGUUUUUUAAGUCCGUUGUGAAAGCCCUGGGCUCAACCUGGGAAUGGCAGUGGAUACUGGAAAGCUAGAGUGCGGUAGAGGGUAGUGGAAUUCCAGGUGUAGCGGUGAAAUGCGUAGAUAUCUGGAGGAACACCGGUGGCGAAGGCGGCAUCCUGGACCGACACUGACGCUGAGGAGCGAAAGCCAGGGGAGCAAACGGG
rnacentral:rRNA from 1 species